GUGCUGUGUGAGCUGCCUUGCAGAGAGAAGAAAGACCAUUUAUUUUGUUUAUUUAGCCUCAGAUUAUGAAAAAACAGAAGAGGAAGAGGAAGAAGAAGAGUGACCAUGGUAAACUCCAGAGUAGCUGCAUUUGCCAAAUUGUUCAUACAGAAGAGGUAUGAGAUCAAAAUGCCAAGGGAGGAAGGUGUUGGGGAUUGCAGCAACGGAACUGGCAGCCAGCAUGGUGUAAAGAUGGAAGAAGGUCACAUGAAGCCUACAGAGCUAUAAGUGUCAUGUUUGUACCUACCCCUUCUUCAAGCACAGAAAGGAAUAGAGAGCCCAGGGUGGUCUACAUGGCUAUGUUUAUCCCCACAACAACCCUGAGAGGUAGGCUCGGCUGAGACAGAAGUGACUGGCCCAGAGUCACCCACCCAGUGAGUUUCAUGGCUGAGCAGAAGACUGAACUUCAGUCUCCCUGGCCCUCCUAGUCCAACGCUCUGACCACACCAUGUUAAGAAAAGGAUGUGGCCUUUUCAUCCAGGACCAUUAAAAGGUGUUGGGGGGAAGGGGGUUAGUUUUAGUUUUAAAAAUGUUUCUGUAUUUUAUUGUAAUGUUUUGGCUUCUGUGCUUUAAUUGUAAGUUUUACUCACUUGUUGUUUUAUUGUUUUACUUUGAGAGCCUCCCAAAUAACAAUUUACUAUGAGUGGCCAAAAAAUAAAGUUGUUG